GAAAGUAAAAGUCGUAACAAGGUUUCCGUAGGUGAACCUGCGGAAGGAUCAUUAAUGAGUUGUCAUGGGGUUCGAUGCUGGCAGCCAAUUUUUGGAUGCAUGUGCUUGCCCUAACAAUCAUCUCCCAAACACCUGUGCACAUUUUUGAGGGAGUCUUGAGUUGGUUGCCGCUCUUGGGUGAUUUUCUCACAUUCCCUUAAAUCAUUAUACGCUAUUAACAAUGUUGAACGUGCUCUGUGCCGCAAGGCUAUUAAUAUAAUACAACUUUUAACAACGGAUCUCUUGGCUCUC
rnacentral:misc_RNA from 1 species